CCUACGGGUGGCAGCAGGGAGGAAUAUUGGUCAAUGGACGAGAGUCGGAACCAGCCAAGUAGCGUGAAGGAUGACGGCCCGAUGGGGGGUAAACUUCUGUUAUAAAGGAAUAAAGUGAGGCACGUGUGCCUUUUUGUAUGUACUUUAUGAAUAAGGAUCGGCUAACUCCGUGCCAGCAGCAGCGGUAAUACGGAGGAUCCGAGCGUUAUCCGGAUUUAUUGGGUUUAAAGGGAGCGUAGAUGGGUUGUUAAGUCAGUUGUGAAAGUUUGCGGCUCAACCGUAAAAUUGCAAUUGAUACUGGCAGUCUUGAGUACAGUUGAGGUAGGCGGAAUUCGUGGUGUAGCUGU
rnacentral:rRNA from 1 species